AGCGGCGGACGGGUGAGUAACGCGUGGGUAACCUGCCCUGUACACACGGAUAACAUACCGAAAGGUAUGCUAAUACGAGAUAAUAUACUUUUAUCGCAUGGUAGAAGUAUCAAAGCUUUUGCGGUACAGGAUGGACCCGCGUCUGAUUAGCUAGUUGGUAAGGUAACGGCCCACCAAGGCGACGAUCGGUAGCCGACCUGAGAGGGUGAUCGGCCACAUUGGAACUGAGAGACGGUCCAAACUCCUACGGGAGGCAGCAGUGGGGAAUAUUGGGCAAUGGGCGAAAGCCUGACCCAGCAACGCCGCGUGAGUGAAGAAGGCUUUCGGGUUGUAAAGCUCUGUCCUAGGGGACGAAGGAAGUGACGGUACCCAAGGAGGAAGCCCCGGCUAACUACGUGCCAGCAGCCGCGGUAAUACGUAGGGGGCGAGCGUUGUCCGGAAUGACUGGGCGUAAAGGGCGUGUAGGCGGCCGAUUAAGUGUGGAGUGAAAGUCCUGCUUUUAAGGUGGGAAUUGCUUUGCAGACUGGUUGGCUUGAGUGCGGAAGAGGUAAGUGGAAUUCCCAGUGUAGCGGUGAAAUGCGUAGAGAUUGGGAGGAACACCAGUGGCGAAGGCGACUUACUGGGCCGUAACUGACGCUGAGGCGCGAAAGCGUGGGGAGCGAACAGGAUUAGAUACCCUGGUAGUCCACGCUGUAAACGAUGAAUGCUAGGUGUUGCGGGUAUCGACCCCUGCAGUGCCGGAGUAAACGCAAUAAGCAUUCCGCCUGGGGAGUACGGCCGCAAGGUUGAAACUCAAAGGAAUUGACGGGGGCCCGCACAAGCAGCGGAGCAUGUUGUUUAAUUCGAAGCAACGCGAAGAACCUUACCAUGUCUUGACAUCGAGGAAAAGGUGCAGAGAUGCGCUGUGAGCUUGCUCAUCCGAAGACAGGUGGUGCAUGGUUGUCGUCAGCUCGUGUCGUGAGAUGUUGGGUUAAGUCCCGCAACGAGCGCAACCCUUAUGGUCAGUUACUAACGGGUAAAGCCGAGGACUCUGACAAGACUGCCGGGGACAACUCGGAGGAAGGUGGGGACGACGUCAAAUCAUCAUGCCCCUUAUGACAUGGGCUACAAACGUGCUACAAUGGCGGCUACAAAGAGGGGCGAGACUGUAAAGUUGAGCGGAUCUCAAAAAAGCCGUCUCAGUUCGGAUUGUGGGCUGCAACCCGCCCACAUGAAGUUGGAGUUGCUAGUAAUCGCGGAUCAGCAUGCCGCGGUGAAUACGUUCCCGGGCCUUGCACUCACCGCCCGUCA
rnacentral:rRNA from 1 species